rnacentral:lncRNA from 1 species
AUGGGGCGUGCAAAGCUAUGGGGGCGUGCAACAGGAUUGGGGCGUGCAAUGAGACCUGGACGUGCAACGGGGUUGGGUGUGCAAUGCAACCUGGCCUUGCAGCGACACUUGGACGUGAAAAAGGGAUUGGGUGUGCAACGGGAUUUGGGUGUGCAAGGCGACUUGGAUUUGCAGCAAGAUGUGGAUGUGCAAAGGGAUUUGGGCGUGAAACACAAGCGGGACGUGCAACCAGAUUGGGAUGUGCAACAGGAUUGGAUGUGCAACAAUACCUGGGCGUGCAACAAGAUUUGGGUGUGCAAGGCAGCUUGGAUUUGCAGCAGGAUCUUCAGGAUGUGGAUAUGCAAAGGGAUUUGGGCGUGCAACACAAGUGGGACGUGCAACCAGAUUGGGAUGUGCAACGGGAUUGGAUGUGCAACAGCGCCUGGGUGUGCAACAAGAUUUGGGUGUGCAAGGCAGCUUGGAUUUGCAGCAGGAUGUGGAUGUGCAAAGGGAUUUGGGCGUGCAACACAAGUGGGACGUGCAACAAGAUUGGGAUGUGCAAUGGGAUUGGAUGUGCAACAGCGUCUGGGUGUGCAACAAGAUUUGGGUGUGCAAGGCAGCUUGGACUUGCAGCAGGAUGUGGAUGUGCAAAGGGAUCUUGGGCGUGCAACACAAGUGGGACGUGCAAAUGGAUUCAGGUGUGGAAGGCAACUGAGACGUGCAACGGCACUUGGAUGUGCAACGAUGCGUGUGCAAAGGGGUUGGGGUGUGCAACACAAGUUGGAUGUGCCACGCAACUGGGACUUGCUGCAAGGAUCUGAGUGUGCAACAGGGUUGGGGUGUGCAACAACUGGGGCGUGCAAAGCCAGUGGGGCGUGCAACACAACUUGGAUGUGCGACACAAGUGGGACGUGCAAGGAGUUUGGGGUGUGUGACACAACUGGGACGUGCAACGGGUCACGGGCAUGCAACAGGAUUGGCGUGUGCAAAGGGGUUGGGGUGUGUGCAAUGGAGCUGGGUGUGCAAAGGGAUGGGGGUGUGCAACACAAGUGGGCGUGCAACAACACUUGGAUGUGCAACGGGAUUGGGCGUGCAACAGCACCUGGAUGUGCAAUGGGAUUUGGGCGUGCAACACAAGUGGGACUUGCAACGCAACCGGGGCGUGCAAGAGGAUCUGGGUGUGCAAAGGGAUUUGGGUUUGCAAGGCAACAUGGGCGUGCAACGAUGCUUGGAUGUGCAAUAGGAUUUCAGCGUGCAACACAACUUGGAUGUGCAAUGACGCUUGAGUGUGCAACAGGAUUGAGUGAGUGA